ensembl:misc_RNA Metazoa_SRP Metazoan signal recognition particle RNA
GCCAGGUGUGGUGGUGCAUGCCUGUAGUCCCAGCUACUCGGGAGGCUAAGGUGAGAGGAUCGCUUGAGCUUAGGAGUUCUGGGAUAUCAUGUGCUAUGCUGAUCAGGUAUCUGCAGUUCAGCAUCAAUAUGGUGACCUCCUGGGAGUGGGGGACAGGAAAACCAGGUUGUCUAAGGAGGGGUCAACUGGCCCAAGUUGGAAAUGGAGCAGGUUAAAGCCCCUGUGCUGAUCAGUAGUGGGUUCGCGCCUGCAAAUAGCCACUGCACUCCAGCCUGAGAAACAUAUCGAGACCCUGUGU